rnacentral:rRNA from 1 species
GACGUAGGGGGCCAGCGUUGUUCGGAAUUACUGGGUGUAAAGGGUUCGUAGGCGGUGCGGCAAGUUGGGAGUGAAAUCUCUGGGCUUAACCCAGAGGCUGCUUCCAAAACUGCUGUGCUUGAGUGUGGGAGAGGCGCGUGGAAUUGCAGGUGUAGCGGUGAAAUGCUUAGAUAUGACAUAGAACACCAAUUGCGAAGGCAGCUUACUACCCGAAUAUUGACACUGAGGCACGAAAGCGUGGGGAUCAAACAGG